GGAUGUAAGGGUGACUUGGCUGCAGCAUCUGUCAGCCUACUGAUCGCCAAGGUUGACUCAGCUGACCUGGCGGGCUAGGUGAGUGUCCCCCUCGUCCCUCACAGAUCCAGGCGCAUCCCUCCCCAGGCUGCAUGCCCUGUGGAAGAGGAUGAUUGCCCGAAUACAGGAAGACUGGUCUUUAGUCAAGGGCACUCGAGUAGCUGUGCUCCCCACUAGAACCUCCAAACAAGCUCUCGUGCCAUGCAUGAUAGAGGUACAUGAUAUAAGAAAUCACCUUUUGUUUCUUUAUUU
rnacentral:snRNA from 1 species